rnacentral:rRNA from 1 species
UACGGGGGGGGCAAGCGUUGUUCGGAAUUACUGGGCGUAAAGGGCUCGUAGGCGGCCAACUAAGUCGGAUGUGAAAUCCCCAGGCUUAACCGGGGAACUGCGUCUGAUACUGGAUGGCUUGAGUUUGGGAGAGGGAUGCGGAAUUCCAGGUGUAGCGGUGAAAUGCGUAGAUAUCUGGAGGAACACCGGUGGCGAAGGCGGCAUCCUGGACCAACACUGACGCUGAGUGAGCGAAAGCCAGGGGAGCAAACGGG